rnacentral:rRNA from 1 species
AUUGAACGCUGGCGGCAUGCCUUACACAUGCAAGUCGAACGGCAGCACGGGGCUCGGGCAACUGAGCCUUGGUGGCGAGUGGCGAACGGGUGAGUAAUACAUCGGAACAUACCCUUGAGUGGGGGAUAACGUAGCGAAAGUUACGCUAAUACCGCAUACGCACCAAGGUGGAAAGCAGGGGAGUCGCAAGACCUUGCGCUCAUGGAGUGGCCGAUGUCAGAUUAGCUAGUUGGUAGGGUAAAGGCCUACCAAGGCUACGAUCUGUAGCUGGUCUGAGAGGACGACCAGCCACACUGGAACUGAGACACGGUCCAGACUCCUACGGGAGGCAGCAGUGGGGAAUUUUGGACAAUGGGGAAACCCUGAUCCAGCCAUGCCGCGUGUGUG